AGAACGAACGCUGGCGGCAUGCCUAAUACAUGCAAGUCGAACGAACUCUUCGGAGUUAGUGGCGCACGGGUGCGUAACGCGUGGGAAUCUGCCCCUUGGUUCGGAAUAACAGUUGGAAACGACUGCUAAUACCGGAUGAUGACGAAAGUCCAAAGAUUUAUCGCCAAGGGAUGAGCCCGCGUAGGAUUAGCUAGUUGGUGAGGUAAAGGCUCACCAAGGCAACGAUCCUUAGCUGGUCUGAGAGGAUGAUCAGCCACACUGGGACUGAGACACGGCCCAGACUCCUACGGGAGGCAGCAAGUAGGGAAUAUUGGACAAAUGGGCGAAAAGCCUGAAUCCAAGCAAAUGCCGCGUGAAGUGAUCGAAGGCCUUAAGGUUGUAAAAGCUCUUUUAACCCGAGAUGAAUAAUAGACAAGUAUCGGGAAGAAAUAAACGACCCCGGACUAAACCUCCGUGCCAAGCCAAGCCCGC
rnacentral:rRNA from 1 species